GCGACGCUGGCGGCGUGCCUAUACAUGGUAGUCGUACGAACAGAUGAGAAGCUUGCUUCUCUGAUGUUAGCGGCGGACGGGUGAGUAACACGUGGGUAACCUACCUAUAAGACUGGGAUAACUCCGGGAAACCGGGGCUAAUACCGGAUAAUAUUUUGAACCGCAUGGUUCAAUAGUGAAAGACGGUUUCGGCUGUCACUUAUAGAUGGACCCGCGCCGUAUUAGCUAGUUGGUAAGGUAACGGCUUACCAAGGCGACGAUACGUAGCCGACCUGAGAGGGUGAUCGGCCACACUGGAACUGAGACACGGUCCAGACUCCUACGGGAGGCAGCAGUAGGGAAUCUUCCGCAAUGGGCGAAAGCCUGACGGAGCAACGCCGCGUGAGUGAUGAGGGUCUUCAGAUCGUAAAACUCUGUUGUUAGGGAAGAACAAAUUUGUUAGUAACUGAACAAGUCUUGACGGUACCUAACCAGAAAGCCACGGCUAACUACGUGCCAGCAGCCGCGGUAAUACGUAGGGUGGCAAGCGUUAUCCGGGAAUUAUUGGGGCGUAAAGCGCGCGUAGGCGGUUUCUAAAGUUCUGAUGUGAAAGCCCACGGCUCCACCCGUGGAGGGUUCAUUGAAAACUGGGAAACUUGAGUGCAAAAAGAGGAGAGUGAAAUUCCAUGUGUAGCGGGUGAAUUGCGCAAAGAUUGGAAGAACACCAGUGGCAGAGGGCGCCUCUCUGCUCU
rnacentral:rRNA from 2 species